rnacentral:lncRNA from 1 species
CCCUGCCCAGCCGCUGGCAGCCGGGACACUGGCCAGAGCAGUCCUGCCAGAUCCAGGCUCCCACAGCACCCCACAGGGCAGCGCAGGUGGGAAGCAAGUGGAUGGUCUCCAACUUCGAAGCCAUCCCAGCAAGCCCGCGGGAGAGAACCGUGCCCAUAGAGGUCUCAACAGGUUGUCCUGUGUGUCCACAGCCUCAAUAGGAAGAGAUUCUAGAUGUAUUUUGUGCUCACUGACGUGUGUUUGACAUUUCUCAACAACCCGUUUAUUUAGAAACAUCAAUAAAUGAAUGUGUAAUUGGAAAUGUUUUGGCAGGGCCUCCACAUUCUUCAGCCUUGACGAGUGAUCCUUCAUCGCUAGUGACGGCUCUCUGCCUGCAUCAGAGUUCAGCAGCUGGAAUUUGGCAUUGAUGGUGUGAGCUCUCUGCAAUCAGCUUAGAAUUGCAUGGUGCUGCGAUGGAAAAUGGGGUUGACGCUGAGGCCGAAAUACCGCUGUGCUCAAAGUGAGUUGGGUUGUACUUGAAGAGAUCUCAUCAUAGAAGCUUAUUGUGUAACUUAUUUUUGGGAAAAAGAAAUCCCUGUAGGCCCACCUGUGGGUGUUAUGAGGUUCCUGAACGAGAGAGGCUUUGAAAGGAAUCCAUGCCCCUGGGAUGGAGGUGCCCAAUUUCAGAGAGAGCAGACGUGAACGGGAGCCAGAGACGCUUUAGAAUCUGCUUGAGAAAGAUCAUCUGCAUUCAUUUCAUGCAUGCUCCAAGAAUGUGAGUAAAGCUUAGAGUCUUCUAAAAGAGUGGAAUCAAACAAGAUAUGUGGAACUAAACAUCUGUGUUUGCCACUCAUUUUCCAUUUACCCGGCUAGAGCCGCUCUCUGCCCUAUCUGCCCUUCCCUGUGCCUGUGGAUGGGCCGAUGCAGUCAGAGGCCUUCUGACCCCACUGGAUGUAACCAAAGGCGCAGGGGCGGGGGGCAGCAGGGAGGGUCCUAGCGGGGAGAAGAGCACAGUCAGGGCAUAGGAUUCACAGGCUCGUUCCCUGAAGGGUGUCUCAAGCUGGCGUGUCCCUCAGCCAAAUGCCCAUCUCCUCUCGCUGUAGCCCUCCCCCUGCUGGUCUCUCUGCCAGCUUCAAGCAAGGCCUCAUCUCCACCUCCCAGUCCCACCUCCGGCUUCAGGGAACCAACGCCACACUGACACUAGCACCCGGACCCCACCCUGUCCCUUAUGGCCUCUCUCAUACAUCGUCUCCUCACUUGCACUCCCUGAGCUGCCCUUGCAAGUGAGCCACGGCUUCCUGCAGGGCCCUGGCACACCAAGCCCCUCACAGUCACCGCUACUGAUCUUUCCACUUGAGAGCCAGUGAUACCGUGACUUUGUGUGGGUCUUUGAAGAAACUGUCCUGCUAAAUACUCACAGUGCAGGGUGGUGUCAUCCAGGAAGCAGGCGACAGAGCUGUGUGGCCGGCUCCACAGAGGACAAGGAUGAGAAAUUGAAUAACUUCAAUCCAGCACUGGGGUCAUAUUCCCCAUAAGUAAAAACUAAAAGUACUCUCUGCCAUCAGCAUGCGCCGCAGGACUUUGGGCCGUCUCAACCUAAGGGACACGUGUGGAUCUCAGGAGCGGGAAGAGCAUGCUGUUUUCAAGCCUAAACCCACCCUUACACUCAAAUGUAAAAGUUAAAAAAAAAAUUCCUAUUAAUCUGCUGCCUCAUGGGAACAGAACAACCCUCCUUUGUAGAAAACAGAAGACCGAAUGCUCAGUACACAAAGUAUGUGAGCAGCAGCGAAUCUGUACAGGGCUGCAGUCUCCAUUCUCACCUCAAAGGAAAGAAUUCGUCCGAGGGGAAUAAGGCAGAGUGAGAGACUGAGGCAAGUUUAGGGCAGGAGUGACUAACUUAGCACCUCUUGGUGCCGUUGAGUCAUAGACAAUGUGUCUGCAAUCCUAAAAGAAUAAAUUAAACAUAAUUUGGC